GUCCACGCUGUAACGAUGAAUACUAGAUAUUGCAGGAUUUGACCCCUGCAGUGUCGUAGCUAACGCGUUAAGUAUUCCGCCUGGGAAGUACGGUCGCAAGACUAAACUCAAAGGAAUUGACGGGGCCCGCACAAGCGGUGGAUUAUGUGGUUUAAUUCGAAGCAACGCGCAGAACCUUACCUAGGCUUGAAAUCCCACGAACCUGCUUUAAACGGCGGGUGCUCUUCGGAGAAUGUGGUGACAGGCGCUGCAUGGCUGUCGU
rnacentral:rRNA from 1 species